rnacentral:rRNA from 1 species
UACGUAGGGUGCGAGCGUUGUCCGGAAUUACUGGGCGUAAAGAGCUCGUAGGUGGUUUGUCGCGUUGUUCGUGAAAACUCACGGCUUGACUGUGAGCGUGCGGGCGAUACGGGCAGACUGGAGUACUGCAGGGGAGACUGGAAUUCCUGGUGUAGCGGUGGAAUGCGCAGAUAUCAGGAGGAACACCGGUGGCGAAGGCGGGUCUCUGGGCAGUAACUGACGCUGAGGAGCGAAAGCGUGGGGAGCGAACAGG